UUGAGCCGGUGGAUUUCCCAAGAGACUUAACAAUCAAGCUACGGACGCUUUAAGCCCAGUAAUAGUGGCCACCACUCGAGCCGCCGGUAUUACCGCGGCGGCUGGCACCGGUCUUGCCCGGCCCUUUCUUCACCAGCUAUUUGCACUGGCGGACAGCCCGAAUUUACGGGCACUCGGGGUUCCCUUAUCACGAUUUCUCGCAUUGUAAAGUUUUCGCGCCUGCUGCGCCCCGUAGGGCCUGGAUUCGUGUCUCAGAAUCCAUCUCCGGGCUCUUGCUCUCACAACCCGUACCGAUCAAAGGCUUGUUGGGCCGUUACCCCAACAACAACCUAAUCGGCCGCAGACCCAUCCUCAGGCGGCGGACCUUUGAACCAGGAGGCAUUCCAGCAUCCCUGGUCUAUGGGGUAUUAUCCCCAGUUUCCCGGGGUUAUCCCCCUCCUGAGGGUAGGUUGUCCACGUGUUACUGA
rnacentral:rRNA from 1 species